GAUCCCCAUAGAUAAAAGACAUAAACACUAAUUGUUUUCCAAAUAAAGCUUUAACAUCAAUUAUACGAUUACUCUCGUAGAGAAUCUCUAAAUUUAUUUCAUUAUUAUAAAAUAAAGCUAAUCCUCCACUAGCACCGAGAGGAUCAACUGAAUACAAAUUAUUAUAACCAAAUUGAGAUUGAAAUCUCUGUAAAUAAGCAAAACAUCUUUUAGUUUCUGAUAAAAAUAAAAUAUCUGGCUUGUGCGUUCUCCAUAGAUCCCUUAAAUAAU
rnacentral:lncRNA from 1 species